GAGAGUUGGAGAACCACGUUAGCAGUAUACGACAAGGAAGAUUUCCAGUGUACAGUGUGAGUGUGUGUAAUUUAUAAUCAACAAAAUUAGCAGUGGCCGAGUUAUCUUUGAGUUUUUCAAAAACAAGAAGAGGGAGGGAGGAAGAAGCAAUGGCGGAGUCUCAGUUGGUUCACCCUCCUUUAUUCACCUAUAUCUCAAUGAUCACUCUGCUCACUUUAGUACCCCCUUUUGUUAUUCUCAUGUGGUAUACAAAUGUUCAUGCUGAUGGAUCUGUAUUGCAAACAUAUAAUUAUCUAAAGGAGAAUGGCCUGCAAGGACUAAUUGACAUUUGGCCAAGACCCACUGCAAUUGCGGGAAAAAUAAUAAUUUGCUAUGCUCUAUUUGAGGCUACACUUCAGCUUUUGUUGCCUGGUAAAAGGGUUGAAGGACCGAUAUCUCCAACUGGACACAGGCCUGUCUAUAAGGCAAAUGGCAUGGCAGCAUAUACAGUGACACUAAUUACCUAUCUCAGCCUUUGGUGGUUUGGAAUAUUCAAUCCUACAAUCGUGUAUGAUCAUCUGGGAGAGAUUCUCUCUACACUAAAUUUUGGAAGCUUAAUCUUCUGUCUCUUUUUAUACAUAAAAGGUCAUGUUGCACCAUCUUCCACUGAUCACGGUUCAUCAGGGAACAUAAUAGUUGACUACUAUUGGGGGAUGGAGUUGUAUCCUCGCAUUGGCAAACACUUUGAUAUCAAGGUCUUCACAAACUGCAGAUUUGGCAUGAUAUCUUGGGGACUCCUCCCUAUUACCUACUGUAUAAAGCAGUAUGAAGAAUAUGGAAGUCUCUCUGAUUCCAUGCUUAUACAUACCAUAAUAACGUUGGUGUAUGUCACGAAAUUCUUUUGGUGGGAAGCAGGUUACUGGAACACCAUGGAUAUUGCUCAUGACAGAGCCGGUUUUUACAUAUGCUGGGGUUGCUUGGUAUUUCUUCCAUGUAUGUACACUUCUCCUGGCAUGUACCUUGUCAAACAUCCUGUAAAUCUUGGACCUCAGCUUGCAAUUUCUAUCCUAGUAGCUGGUAUUCUCUGCGUAUACAUAAACUAUGAUUGUGACAGACAGAGGCAAGAGUUCCGCAGAACAAAUGGCAAAGCCCUUGUCUGGGGAAAGGCUCCUUCAAAGAUUGUCGCCUCAUACACUACUACAACUGGCGAAACUAAAACCAGCAUUCUCCUGACAUCUGGAUGGUGGGGCUUAUCGCGGCAUUUCCAUUAUGUUCCAGAAAUACUAGCUUCGUUUUUCUGGAGUGUGCCAGCUCUUCUCAACCAUUUCAUGCCCUACAUCUAUGUAAUCUAUCUGACGGGCCUCCUUUUGGAUCGAGCCAAAAGGGAUGACGAAAGGUGCAAGUCGAAGUAUGGCAAAUACUGGAAAAAGUAUUGUGAAAAGGUGCCUUACCGGGUAGUCCCUGGAAUUUAUUAGUGAUUCUUGAGCUUCAACUGAUGAACUGUCUUUAAUAGUGCUGCUUCUAGUAUUGUAGUAGUAUUUAGACCAUGAAAAAUUUUCUUCUUUCAAUAAAGCACUUUUAGUUGGAACCAACAUCUCAUUUCUAUGGUUGUAAGUUGUAACACGAUGAAAAAAUCAGCUUGAAAUAGAUAUUUCGUGAAAUUAGUUGA